rnacentral:lncRNA from 1 species
AGGGGAGCCUAGAAGACGUGCUUCGGUUUCCAGGAUGGUUGUGUUUCCCAGAGAGGCGUAGGUAAACCAUGGGCGCAGCUCUGCCUCCCACAGAUAAUUCCGGAUUGGGCGAGAUAGAAUUCCAUGGAAUUUCAUUGCCAAACCAGUGAAGUGCUAAUUUUGACAUUUGUACCAGCUAAUGUAGCUGUGAAGAAGCACACCAAUACCACUUCUAAGAUUCAUAUACAUACGCUCUUCCGACAGCACAGCAUAGACCAAGAACUGGGUUUCAUAUGGAUGAAUUUAUUCUUCCUUUGA